rnacentral:rRNA from 1 species
CCUACGGGUGGCAGCAGUGAGGAAUAUUGGUCAAUGGGCGCAGGCCUGAACCAGCCAAGUCGCGUGAGGGAAGACUGCCCUAUGAGUUGUAAACCUCUUUUAUAAGGGAAGAAUAAUGACUACGUGUAGUCAGAUGCCCGUACCUUAUGAAUAAGCAUCGGCUAACUCCGUGCCAGCAGCCGCGGUAAUACGGAGGAUGCGAGCGUUAUCCGGAUUUCUUGGGUUAAAAGGGUGCGUAGGCGGAUUUUUAAGUCAGCGGUAAAAGGUCGGGGCUCAACCCGGGCCUUUCGUUGAUACUGGGGAUCUAGAGUGGGCAAGAAGUAGGCGGAAUGCGUGGUGUAGCGGUGAAAUGCAUAGAUAUCACGCAGAACUCCGAUUGCGAAGGCAGCAUACCGGCGCCCGACUGACGCUGAGGCACGAAAGCGUGGGGAUCGAACAGGAUUAGAUACCCUAGUAGUC